rnacentral:lncRNA from 1 species
UUGGCUGUUGGGUUUUUCAAUGGGGUAUGAAUUGAAAAUAUAAAAAGAUUUAUUAACUAAGACCUAGGAAAAUUAAACGAUUUUUUUUAAUGUUUUUGAAUGUUUGCUCUACUGACAGCUAAAAAAGAAAUAAAUAAAAGGAAACAAAAAAAAAGAAAGAAAAUGAAAAAAUACUGUAAUGCAAAAGGAGAGUCGUCGUCCUCAUCUCGCUCUCUCGCUCUCUC